GAGUUUGAUCAUGGCUCAGGAUGAACGCUGGCGGCGUGCCUAACACAUGCAAGUCGAACGAGCGCUUUCGGGCGCGAGUGGCGGACGGGUGAGUAACGCGUGGAUAACCUGCCUUAUACAGGGGGAUAACAGCGGGAAACUGCUGUUAAUACCGCAUAAGCGCACAGUACCGCAUGGUACAGUGUGAAAAGCUCCGGCGGUAUAAGGAUGGAUCCGCGUCUGAUUAGCCAGUUGGCGGGGUAACGGCCCACCAAAGCGACGAUCAGUAGCCGACUUGAGAGAGUGACCGGCCACAUUGGGACUGAGACACGGCCCAAACUCCUACGGGAGGCAGCAGUGGGGAAUAUUGCACAAUGGGGGAAACCCUGAUGCAAGCGACGCCGCGUGAGUGAAGAAGUAUUUCGGUAUGUAAAGCUCUAUCAGCAGGGAAGAAAAUGACGGUACCUGACUAAGAAGCCCCGGCUAAAUACGUGCCAGCCGCAGC
rnacentral:rRNA from 1 species